rnacentral:lncRNA from 1 species
UUUUUUUUUUUUUUUUUUUUUUCCAAGUCAACCCCUUCUUGUUUUAAGAUGUGACACUAGUUCUGAGCUCUGGGGCCUCACUGAGUCUGGCCACCAACCUUUCAAGCUCUUAAACACAGUAAAGCUCUGAAUGGGGUUCAGAACAAGACUCUCCAAAAUGUGCUACUUUAUGGCACUAUUUGUGAGCUGAAGGUAAUCAAGACCCAGAAGACCCAAGAAAAAUUUUUGCUUCUCCCCAAACUACCUAAAUGAAUUUAGAUAAGGGGACUGGUUCAGGAAGAGAGCUUAUUUCUAAGAGAUAACUUUUGUAUCUGAAUGACCUAUUGGUAGGACAGGACAAACAUCUAAUUACCAAAUAAUCUGCUCUUCUUAUCAACCUGUGAAUCAUCCUCCUCCUCUUUGAAGCCCCAGGCCCCUGUCCCAUUCCUUAGCUCAAGAUGGCACAUAAGCCUCAAUUACGCAGCUUGUCCUUGGGUCUCACUGUCUUCCUGGGGUCCUCAUACAUAAAUAAGUAAAUUUGUUUUUCUCUUGUUAAACUGCUCUAUGUUAAUUUUCUCAAAUAUUUAUUUAUUUAUGAGAGAGAGUGAGCAUGAUCAGGGGGAGGGGCAAAGGGAGAGGGAGAGAGAGAAUCUCAAGCAGACUCCUUUUUGAGCACAGAGCCCAGCACAGGGUCCAGUCUCAUGACCCCAAAAUUAUGACCUGAGCCAAAACCAAGAGUUGGAUGCUUAACCAACUGAGACACUGAGGUGCCUUGCCCCAAAAUUGCCCUAUGUUAAUUUGAUUUUUAUAUUAGUGAAAAAUCCAAGAAGGAUAGAGGAAAAAAUCUUCUUCCCCAACAGCUCCACAGAUUUUUUUCGACUCUUUUUUAUACAUGAAUUCACUACAGAAAAGCUACAUUUAACUUGGCUUUCUUUCAAGGAAUAUAGUUACUGGAUUCAGUUUAGCCAAGUAUCAUAGCAAAAAUAUUCUAACUUGGAUUAUUACGGUGUUUGUACUUCCAUUGCAGUGGUUUUCAGAUUUUAGUAUGUAUAAGAAUAUCCAGAGGGGUCGCUAAACUGCAUUUUCUUAGGUCUAAUCCCCUUCCCAAAAGAUUUUAAGUCAGUGGGUCUAGGAUGGAGUCCAGAAAUCUGUAGUAUAUAUAAGCACACAGGUCAUUCUGAUGUCAGAGGUGCUGUGGUCCACACUUUGAAAUACUAUACUUACUAGUUUUCAAUAAAGCCCUCAUGGAUCCACUCACAUAAUAGGAACACAAAUUCUCCUUUCAGUGCUUUGAAGAAUAUGCAUCUAGAAGUCUGUUUUUCUCCUCUGAUGGCAUUAAAUGCAAAAAAGAAGGAAAUCAAGAGCUAAACCGUUGGUACUGUCCCUUUAAAGAUCAUCAUUAUUCUGAAAAUGAAAUGUUUGCUUCCUUCCUUCACAAAGAAAAAGUUCUGCUUGCCGUGGGAGUAAAAGGUGUUAUGAUUGCAAAAUUUUUGUUCACCAGACAAAUUCCAGUCCUUUCAUAUGGCUUUAGACAAUGCUCUCUCUUAACUGUUUGUACAGCACUUCAAAAUCCUGAGGAGGUGGUUGCAGUGUGGGCUAAUGCCAGUGUUAUUUAGAGAACAUGCAAACAGAAUCAAGACUUAGCGCUGCUCAAGGGGACAGGACAGUGGCCUCCCAAGCAAUAGAGCCAUUGAGUCAUGCUCAUCUCUCUUAAAAGGGUGGUAAGUGAAUUACUUCGUGAGUUCAAAGACCAGAAUCUGGCACAAACACUUCUUGGGAUGCUCUCCCUACCCCUGGUCGUAGGCUCUUAUAAGAUCCAAGGUAAUGAAAGAAAUAUGAGAAUUCAGUUGCAGCUCUGACACUUUAUUGACUAUAAGACCUUGAGCAAAUCAUUUUACUGGUCUAAGCUUAUAUAAUUAUGAUGACAAUAUUUACCUCACAGGAUGGUUGUGAAAAUUAAGUUUCAUUUAUGAUAAUAUAUAGCAGAGUACUUGGCAGUAAACUGCUGCAACAUUCAUUUUUUAUUCCUUUCUCAUAAUUUGGUUUGAAGUCAUUGCUAUACCAAUCCCUCAAGGGCAGUGAGCUUCUAUAGCCACUGUUUAGCUCAGAGCAACACCCUUUCCAAUGGACACUGUAUGCCAUUUAAUAAGGCCGACUUUAUGGGCUGGCAGUUAGGAAGAGUUGCAUUGUAAUCAUCAGUUACCAGUAUAGAAUGACAGAGUAGCAAGCAAGUUAUGGUUUUAAUGCUGAGGAUACUUUUCUUUUUCUUAAAAAUUUUAACCCACCUAUUUUCACAUGUUUUAAAUCAUGUUCAAAAAUUAGAUAAAACAAAACUUGGAUUUACUUAAUAGAUCAAUUAAAGCAAAGGCUCUCAGUGGUACAAGGGAGGCCAUGCAGUUUUUCUGAAAACCUAAUAAAUGAUCAAAUCCUUUCACCUCUGGAGAAAAAUACACAUACACACUAAAUUAUUCAUUCAGAUGAUGGAGGUUUACAGACUCCCCACAGACCAUCGACAAAACCCAGGCUAAGAAACCCUAAUAUGUGCACCAUCACUCACUUACCAUACUUUCCCUAGUAAAGUAGGAGCCUAAGCCCUUCCUAACCCUAAGAGCAACCUGGAAGGCUGUUAAAACCCCAUAGAAGACUUGUGUGGGCUCCUUUAACAGACACUUAGGUUCUCACAAUGACUACAUGCAGCAUAUGUCUAGGCAAUGAUGGGGUUGCCAUGGUGAGGUGAUUAGGAACUCAGUUUUGUAGUUUAGCCAAUAUGUUUUCCAGCUUCUGUAAAUCAGGCCAAAUGGAACACAGGUUGGGGAGAAGAGUUCAAAGAAAAUGAAGUUUUCUUGAAGGGUCUCAUUCAAAGUUUAGGGGUCAUUUUCUCCACAUUGCUUGCAAUAUGACAAGUAUACUGGAAAAUGCUUCUACUCCAUUGUCAAGAACUGCUCCCUACCUUCCUAGUUCUGCUUUUUUGCUAAUGGGGAUUUCAGAAUAGCAACCUGUCCACGCUCUGAUUCUCAGAUAUCAAGAGUCAAACAGUGAGAGAUCUGUUUUCCAGGUGACAAACGCUGGGGGAGGCAAAGAUAAAAUAGGCUGCAUACAGCAAAUAACAAGAAUCAGACAUCAGACAAAAAGCAAGUGGUAAACUAUGUUCAAUUAACUUCUAUUAUUACAUAUUUUUUAAACUUUCAGUGUAGGCAUGGCAUGGUUAUUCUUAACCCAUCUCCCUCCUACAGAGAGCUAUGUUUUAAGGGUCGGAACACAGUAUCAUUCAGAUAUAAAGAUAACAAUCCUGGCCUUCCCCAAGAAAAUGUGAAUGCAGAGUUUCUCCUCCUUAAGAAUCAUUCCUAGUCCUUCAACCCUUGUGAUUAAAGAUAUGCUUUUGAGGUAUGCCUGGCUGGCUCAGUCAGUAAAAUAUGCAACUCUUGAUCUUGGGGUUGUAAGUUCAAGCCCCGCGUUGGGUAUGGAGAUUACUUUAAAAAAAUAAAAUCUUAAAAAAAAUGUUUUUGAGAGAAUGCUGGUCAAGUCAAGUCAGGAGUGCAAGCUGUGGCUGAAGAACAAGACAUAUGUAGUUCUAGGCGGGGAUGAUAUACAAAGAGAACAUUAAGGUCAAUGGUAGCUCUGAAAAGAAAAUUAGCUUGAGUGAUUUUGCAUGAUUUUCAAAAUGAUUCUGAAAUUAAUUCGUAAAGAAUACAUUGAAAUGUGACGGAAAAAGGAGAAAUUGAAAGAGAACCUUAGAACUGCAAAAAUAGGAUUCAUCUUGUUAUAAUAUUCAGCCAACACAGGAAAGCACCUCUUAACUUAAUGUCUUCAGAAAUGAGAACCACUGAGAUAUACAAACAACAGUUAUGCCACCUAUUCAUGGGACUUAAAGGAUGAAUACAAAUAUAUCCACCAAUAGGGAAAAUAGGCUUUGAACUUUUCAAGGGUUGGUCCUGCAUUUUCUGUUCUACUCUGGCUAUAUUUCCUUCCUAAAAGACCCUAUCUAGUCCCAGGCUUUAAACACCAUCUAUAUACCAAUUAUUCUCAAAUUUAUUUCUCCAGCCCUGACUUCCUCCAGAUUUAUAUACUCAACUGUCUACUUCAUUGCAAUUCUCAGGGUAACCAAUAAAAAAUAACUAAAAUAGGGAUCCCUGGGUGGCGCAGCGGUUUAGCGCCUGCCUUUGGCCCAGGGCGCGAUCCUGGAGACCCGGGAUCGAAUCCCACGUCGGGCUCCCGGUGCAUGGAGCCUGCUUCUCCCUCUGCCUGUGUC